CUUUGAACUCGAGAUCCUCCUGCCUCAGCCUCCUGAGCCGCUGGGAUUUCAGGCCUUAUGGUGUGAGGAGCGAUGUCUGGGGUUGCAGCAACCUCCCUGAGUCAGUGAGGAUGAAGACAUGGAGACAACAGAGGCAGAUCAGAGCCUGACAGGGAGAGCCACUGAGCAGGUGCCCAGCAAGUGCCUGCCAAUGUGAGCUGGAGUUGGUCCUCAAGCCCAGACUCUGUGCUUGUCUACCCCCUUGGAUUCCCAGACUCAGUGACCUCAACAUCAAGGCCUCCCAGCCUCUGCGGAGGGCUUCCCUUCUGAUGCCAGAUGCAUGUUGGGGCCCCCCUGCCCGAUGCUGCCCCACUCCAUCGGAUUAUCCAGUUCUCGGGACACCAACUGAGUGUGCCACCAUUUAACUCAACCCUGACGCCAGCUGCCUGGAGUUAGCAUCAGAUCCAACAGCCUGAGGGCUCAGGAAUACAGUACU